rnacentral:rRNA from 1 species
UACGUAGGGGGCGAGCGUUGUCCGGAUUUAUUGGGCGUAAGAGCGUGUAGGCGGCCAGGUAGGUCUGCUGUGAAAACUCGAGGCUCAACCUCGAGACGUCGGCGGAAACCAUCUGGCUAGAGUCCGGAAGAGGAGAGUGGAAUUCCUGGUGUAGCGGUGAAAUGCGCAGAUAUCAGGAAGAACACCCGUGGCGAAGGCGGCUCUCUGGGACGGUACUGACGCUGAGACGCGAAAGCGUGGGGAGCGAACAGG